AGCAGCGUGGCGCAGUGGAAGCGUGCUGGGCCCAUAGAUCUAUGGACCACCCAGAGGUCCCUCGAUCGAAACGAGGCGCUGCUA